rnacentral:rRNA from 1 species
AUGGCUCUGAUGGACAAGGAGGCAGAAGGAUUUAUUUUCCUGGAUUCGAAGAAGCUGAUGACAAAGAACUUGAAGUGGCCGAUUGCUGGUAAGGUGUGUUCUCCACGUCCAAUGAAUAUUGAGCUGGAACGUGCUAUGAAAAGAGCAUGGGGUCUGCAUAAAGAAGCCCAGUUCAGGAACAUGGGAGAUAACAUUUUUGUGGUUCACUUCGGAAGUGAGGGUGACUGGAAACAUGCUAUGUUUAGUGGCCCUUGGCAAUUUGAUUUCAAUGUGGUCACUAUUAAAGAGUAUGAAGGUGAUGUCAGAGUGGAUAUCUGGGUUUGGAUCACUGAUCUCCCUCCGGAUAAGAGAAAUGAGGAAUUUGACAGGGCCCUUGGCAACUGGCUGGGGUCGACGGUGAGGGUUGAUGUGGAAAAGGAAGGUUUUGCCCGUGGUAAUUGUUUGCGGAUUAGGAUGACAAUCUCUGUCUUUGAGCUGCUUGUGCGAGGCUUCUACCUUAAACCCUCACUAGAGGACAAGGUUGGGGAUUGGUUCGACUUCUACUACGAAAAGGUGCCUCACUUUUGCUUUGAAUGUGGUCAUUUGGCUCAUGUUGGAGUGGUCUGUGUUCCCCCGACUGGCCCGUCCUCUCAAUGGGGGGGGGGGGCUGGCUUAGGGCAUCUCUGGGCAGAAACAACAAUGGGAAAGAUCACUCUGACGGGGCGGCAAUAA